AUGUUGGUGGUUCAGUGGUAGAAUGCUCACCUGCCACAUGAGCAGCCUGGAUUUGAUUCUCAGCUAGCACA
rnacentral:tRNA from 1 species